AACGCGCUUUUGAAUAAACUGCAGACAGAAAAUCAGCCAAGAAACAGAAAGAGAAAAUGAAGACAUAUGCUAUCAUCUCUAUUGCUGUUGCUUUGGUGGCGAUCACGGUUUUAAAAACAUCAGCAUCCAAAGAAAACUCCAGAGGACUUACGAGGUUAGUCGGACAGCAGCCAUUACUCUUCGGAAGGCGGGGGAUGAACCCUAACAUGAACAGUCUAUUUUUCGGAAAACGAGCCGUGGAUAGGUCGACGUUAGAUGAUAUCAUUGUUGACAAAUGCACACGAAUCAUGACCGCCUGCCAAGAGUACGCACAUGAAAGAAUGGGGGAGGACGACAUCUAGAUAACGAUGUGGUAUUAACUUCACGCAAUCAAAGUAGAAGAAAAAACCAAAGAUAAAGUUGUUCUAUGACCAUACUUCACUUUUACAAAUGAAACCACAAACAUUUCUAAUUCGAUAUACUUACAUAAUUUUAAAUCACAAUUGUAUAAGUUUAUGAUUUCAAGAAUAUCAUCGAAUCUUCAUAUGACAUGAUGUACUUCUGCCAGAAUGACUUUCGAAAAUAAAGUAUUAGUAAAAUUCAUUUAGCUUAUGUGAUGGGACUUUGGGUUUUACCCGAGUUAAACAAAUAAAUUCUUGUUUUCUCAG